GGGUACUUCACCAUGUUAACCUCGCUCCAGACCUCACCUGUUCUGGUGGAGAUUAUUUUCAGAAUUACAGAUGAACAGGCCUUGAAGAACCUCAGAAGCUGCAGCUUAAAGACUAAAAACUCAAGUUGUCACCUUCUCAUCAAGCUUGUUGCUGGUGGUUUACAGUCUCGUCCCUGAUGUCGUGGUGGUGGAGAGGCUAGAUUGGAAGAAAUGAUUCUGUGGACAGGAGGCACUGUUGUUCCUAGAUUGAGGAAAGCCGAUUUGCAGCCACAACUGAUCGCGCCAGCCCUCUUCAAUAUGGAGACAGAUUAAACAUGAAGGAAUUCAAGGAUAAAAUGUUGGGGAGAUGUAUGAGAGCCACUGGUUCAUUCAAACAUACAUAAAUUUUGUACAUACCAGUGGUGGCUGGUGACACAAGAAGGAUCAGCUCCUGUGGAGGACAUGAGGAGUGAAAAGCUCCACGAGAGGUUUUAAGAAUAAUUUGGAUAAACCGGCUCUUUAAAUAGUCCAGAAGGAGAAGUGCAAAUGAGAGACUGGUCACAUUACUUCUGUGAAACAUUAUGUAACUGAGAUUGCACCUAAUAACCAAAUAAUUGCCAAGCUACCUAUUACAGGGCAGUAAUGAUUUUAGAGUUAACUUUUUUAAAGAUAAAAUUUCAUGCACAAAAACAGCAGAACAAUAAUCUGAAAUACUGGAAAUGCUUAUUGUAAGUUUAUGGCCCAUGAUCACACUUAAUAUGUGGAUCAUUGCUGUGAACAGAUGUGACAGCUCACCUGUCUUAUGUGGUCCUGAUUGAUCCUGUAUUUGUCUAAAAUAAUUAUGAAUAUUAAUAAUAUAAAACUAUGAAUGUUAUAAAUAUGCUUCUAAGAAUAAAAGCAUCUAUGAAGCAACAGGAAUUCAGAGGAAUUGUCACAAAACACUAAGUAACAUAUGCACUUUAGGUCCUGUUUUUAUCCUUUGAUUAUUACUUUCAUUGGUUCACCAAUAAUGCUCUGUGUGAUGCGUUUGGAGAAGUCUUUGUACUAAAAUCUUCAAUGUUAAAAAACAAAAAAA